rnacentral:lncRNA from 1 species
UGUGGUCUCACAGGCAUUGGGAGUACGUGACAGUCAGUGUAUGUGGUUUCUCACAGCGCUAGGAGUAGUGACAGUCAGGGUAUUUGGUCUCACAGCGUUGAGGUACGUGACAGUCAGGUAUGUGGUCUCACAGCUUGGGAGUACGUGACAGUCAGGUAUGUGGUCUCACAGCGUCUAGAGUACGUGACAGUCAGGGUAUGUGGUCUCACAGCGUUGAGGUACGUGACAGUCAGGGUAUGUGGUCUCACAGCGUUGAGGGUACGUGGACAGUCAGGUAGUGGUCUCACAGCUGUUGAGGUACGUGACAGUCAGGGUAUGUGGUCUCACAGCGUUGAGGUACGUGACAGUCAGGAUAUUG